AAAAUAUGUCCGCAAAAACAAAGUCUGGGUCGAAGAAAGAAAGGAGAAAGUGGGCAGGUAGAAGAGAGGGUGUCAGUAUGUCACAGUUUUGCUUAAAGAAGGGUGGGUUUAGUUAGUGAUUGGUUAAAUUCAACCUGUUAGCUAGCUCUGAUAUCCACAGUGAGAGAACUACAGCUAAUAUCCUGCAGAAGUCCGUGCUGCAUUUUCCCUGUUGUGCAUUAAGUUUAAAGACUGUUGUAACUUGGAUGAAGAUUUUGUCACAAAUGAUAGCCUAUAUACGCUCUGAAAGGAGCGCUGGCAAUAAAAUUCAUUCUGAGUCUGAUUCUGAUUCUGAUUCUGAUAUUGUAACACAUAUAUCAAUUUCGUUAUGUACAGAGCCUGGACCUUCCCGAUGUCAGGUUUGGUCAGGACAAAGUAUAUACGUAUUCAUGCAAAGUUGUCCAACUUUAAAAUUUUAUGUAACCCUAACUGACUCCGGUUUGAACUGUGUGCUUAUUCAUUUUGUGUCUAUGAUGAAGCCAUGGAGACUUAAUAAAGAAUUCACCUUGUGAGCAGUGAAUCUUUAAUUUUUGUCAGUCAUACAGAAAUACUUGAUUUAAAGAGGAAAGGCAGCUGAAAAUGUAGUUAUGUAAAGCUUUGACACAACAUGGAAAUUUAAUUAGAUAUCCAAAUUUGAAUUUUAUCAUCAAAUACAAUUUUAGAAUAAAUAAACACAUUUUAAGGGAGUUAAAGGGAAAAGGAGAUUAACACCUUUCAGCAUGUGCAUUUCCUGCUUUUUCCGGCAGUGAUAUUGCUAAUUCUGUUGAAGGAAAUUCACUGUUUAAUGAGAGACAGCUGGUGAAAAUGAUAUGUAAAUAAGUAAGAAUGCAUGUAGACCUACAUAAUUAAGCAAAACUGAAACACUAAUAUAAAGUAUAUAUAUUAUAUUUUUUCGCCCUUCGAAUCUGGGAGGGUGGAACCCCAGCUUCAGCUAUGGACGAGACCCUGGGGGCCCAACUUGAUUUUUUUUCAUGGGGCCCAAAAUCUCUGGGUGCCCCCCUGUCAUUGGCGGUUCUAGGGGCGGGGCCACAGGGGCACUGGCCCCUGCUGAAAUAUGAUUGGCCCCUGUAGUGCCCCUGUCCUGUCACUCAUCUGUCCUUUGUGCGGUGAUGAGAUUAUAGGUGGAUGCAAUUCCGAGUCCAAACACUAGUGGCCGUGUGGCGCUAAGGAGCAAAAUAGUGUGUGAAAUCCAACAGAAGAAGAUUUGAAAGAUUCCAAGAAGGAAGAACUUUUCAACCGACAUCGGAUCUGAUGAGAGUCCACGUUAUGAGGAGUUUGUUGCUGCAAACUGGGACAAGACUCUCUCCAAUUCAGACAACCAGAGUGAAGUUAAUGACUCAACCUUCCAUCCUGCUGGGCCACCAGAGUCACCAAUCAAUACUAAUCCUGCAGGAUCAAAUGUCAUCUUCCAGUGUGAUGCACAGAAUCCUGCGCAGACAUCAGAACGGUGUUCUGUUCCAGUAGGACCUGGUGGUGUGCUUCUCAUUUUGUAAAGGCUCUUUAAAUUUAAUUGAAUUUUGCAGUCAGUCACUUGCAGAUUCUGAAUGCCAUGAAUGUUAAAGGUUGAGAGAUAUAAGCAACUGACUCAGACUUAUUUAAUUGACUUCCCACCAGACAUUUCCCAGUCAAGAGCAGAGGGUCCUGUGAUAUUCUUCUGGUGUUUUUUCCACACACAAACAUAAUUUAACCUGAUAUUUGUGGCUUUGCAAAAUAAAUUGAAUGCUAAAAUUUCUCAAAUGCUGUGUGUGGUUGUAUUUUGUCAAUGUACAGUAAAAAUUGAUGUACAAUUGCAUUGAUGUUUUUCAACAUGGUGUUGGGGUAAACUGUAUCUACCAUACAAAACUGGGAAUAGUAUGCAAGUAUGUUGGACUGUUCGUGGCCCCUCUAUAAAUAUUGUGGCCCCUUGAUGGCCCCACCCUCAGAAAAAUCCUAGAUCCGCCACUGCCCCCUGUAUAGGUCAAUCUGUAGGUGAAAACUGACCAUUUGUGGAAAUUACAAGGAGGAAACUAAAUCAUAAAACCUGUAAGACAAAAACUAACCUAAACCUGUAGGACUAAAGACACUUAGAACUAAAGUAAGUAACCAAUGACCUGAAGAGUUACAGAACUAAAUAUAAGCCAUAAAAAACUAAUGAUGAAACUGGGAGUCUGGGUGAAGGAAAUUAUUGGGAGUUAAAGAGCCUGGAACCAAGGGCAGGGGGUAUUCUAAAAAGAAACAAGGAGUGAGACAAGAAGGGGAACACAGACGCACAAUGUGACAAAAGCAAGCUGACCAAGAGAGUCUCUGACUUUGGGAACCAGCUUGUCUGGGGCACAGAUGAGGAUCUCAGUCUUAUCUUCAUUCAGCUGUAGAAAGUUCCCAGCCAUCAGGCAAACAGGAGUGUAACAGCUGCAGCUUAGACAUCUCAUGGGUACUGAGGUCCAACUUGUGGUGAAAGUUGAGUGAUCCCAAAAUCUUAUCACAAAAGAUUAAUUGUUAAUACUUUACCAUCAACUGAGCCAACCCUACCUCAUUUUUUUAAUCUAAACUUGACCCAAAAUAGAAAAUCCUUUAACACACCUAAACUGACUUGUGCUACAACAUAUUUAGUUCUAGGUCAAUCAAAGACGUAUCUUGAUUGUGUUUUGGAGAGCAUCGCUAUAAGUGCAGUGGCAAAAAUAGGGCGUGUUGCACAUCUAUACACCAUGUUGGGUCUCUUAGCCGUAGGAGCUGGCUGUCACUCUGGCUUUUUCCCACCGUGACAUUUUAAGAGAAAUUUCACAAGUUUUGCGAGGCAGAAUUUUAGACUAAAUAAUUUAUAUUUCUUCUCUCUUCUGAGAGAGUUGUAAGCCCUAAACCUAGCAUUCAUCUCUGAAUGUAAAUGACUGAUUUGUUUUAAGAAAGUUAAACAAGCAAAGACAAAAUGUUUUUACAAAUCCAGUAUAAGAAAGGUAAAUACCAAUCUUCAUCUUGUUUUCGUUUAAGACAAACAUGUUUGACACAAGCCCUCAGUGUCAUUGUUUGCACCUUGAGGUCACAGGUCAUGUACCGGCAUCUAAUCAGAGUACACCAAAGGAAGUGAAACAGCUCAAGCUACUAUUAGUGUUUCAUCUUUGAGUUUAUUACACACACAGAAAUGUCAAUUUGCAUCUCAUGUCAUGCCUAGCCAGAGGGAGGGAACAUGCCUGUCUGUCUCCUUGCGUAUUUGUCCAAAGACAGGAAGUGGUUGACACACUCAGGAGGUGUGAAUUCCCUACUCGUGAUUAAUUUAGCCCUUCCUGCGGAGGCAGCCUGCCAUGAACAUUUACUGGGCUCAAUUUAACUCUGAUCAACACGUUCACUUUGACUGCCAGAUGGUGAUUUGAUUCUGACAAAUUACCCGUGUGUUGUGCCUGAUAAUGCCUCGAAACCCGAGUGUUUACUUUCCUUUGGCGGUUUAUUAUUGUAUAAGUGUGUGUGUUUGUGUGUUGGGGGGGUGACGUGCUGUUCCACUGAGCUCAUGUCAGAGUUGCUAAAUGGGUCCCUUUUUUGUUCUCCUGAAGGGAAAUGUUUACUUUGUUUCAGUGGUGAAACCUCAUCUGGCUUUGCAGAUCUUCACCUGAAGGUUUGACCAUUCUUGAAUCAGACUCAGCAGGAGGCAGUGAAGAGCGGUGGUGAAAUUGUAUCCCUCUGCCACUGUCGAGCGAGAUGCAGCCUCCGAGUCUUCAGCUUCAGGCUCUGGACCCUGCUUAUGUUGUUAGGCUCUUUGAAGAGCUCAGAGCAAUUUUGCUUCCCAGAGAAACAGCUCAGAAGAAACACUCAAACCUGCGUGGGCAUGACUGUGCUGAUGUGCUCAUACCAUAUGCAAACGCUGCAGACUGUAAAGUGGGUUAUUUAUCAGCAAAAGAUGAAACUGAAAAUUUCUGUGUGUAUGUUUACAAGCUGCAGCAAUUUCUGCAGCUUGUUGCAGUCCCACCUGUGGGGAUGUGUGUUAUAUUAACACAUUAAAAUCCAUUGGGGGGUUUUGGGUUUGCUGUUAUGUAGUUAGAGAAGUAGUUUGGUUGAAAAAUGGUUUAAAAUGUAUUUCAGAGCUUUUGAACCAUCAUAGCUUCUAGAAUAGCCUCAGUCUGGAGGAAUAGAAUGAACUGCUGGUGCCAUCAAAGUGUUCACCAAUACCUUUGAGCUAGCUUGUCUCAGCAGGACAUUUUUGAAACAUGUAGGACAAUAAACUCACCUUUGUAUCCAUUUACUAGUGGGUAUUGUGAUCUCGGACUUUUCCUUAUUUGACACCAUACUUUGAAAAUGAUAGGGAACAACUUCAUAGAUGCAAUACAGGUCCAAGUAUGCAUUCAAACCACUUUUAUAAGCAAUAAAAAUCAGGUUUCACUGCAAACCAAAGGAAGUUAUUGUAUAGUGUUGCUAAAAUCAGAAGCAGUAGCCCUACAGUCCCCUACAGAUGGUCUCAAAGUCCUAUUCAUCAGAGCUCGAGCAUUCUGCAUCGUCAGAAUCAUUACAAAAUGCGGAACAUUUUCUAACAUGGGGUUGGGACGGUCACUCUGAUCGGAAAAAUAUAGUAAACCAACAAAUGGACCAGAAAUGAUCAGAAGAUUAUUAGAAUAACCAUUCAAAACAGCUCUGAAAAUGUUCCCCGUUUUUUCUUAGCUUACCUGCCUUGGGCAGCUGAAUUAAAACCAAAUGUGUCAACAUAGUCCAAAAACCCAUGCACGAGUGUGUGUGUGUGUGUGUGUGUGUGUGUGUGUGUGUGUGUGUGUGUCUGCACGUGCAUGAGUCCUCAAGGCUGCAAAAGAUGCAGGACUUCUUAUCUAUCGUCUUCAAAUAAAGCUUGUCUUCCCUGGCUCAUAAAUGACUUUAUACUUUUAUAAGGGCUACAUAAUCAUAUUUUGUUGAAUGAACAAUAUGUUUAAAUCAAAUGGUUUUAAUAAUGUGUCCAAUGCUCUACAUUAAUAAAUGAUGGAUUUAUUUAUUUAUUUCAGAUCUUAAAUUACAUCAGAUUGGUAAUUGUGUAUUUUAAUGUUAGUGUAUCAGUAGAUUCACAUAUAACUCAAUGUGAAAUAGUAAUAUAUCUCAUACACCCCCACCUGACCUAACCUUAAGGACAUUCAAUAGUUAAUAAUAUUGGGAAUGGUAAAAAGGGCAUCCUGUGUUUAUUAAUGCUUAAUUAACCACUAAGUAAUGUUAAUAAAAGGACCCUUAUUGUUAAGUGUUGCUGAAAUUAUUUCAAUAGGCAUUCGGAAAGGGCUCCUUUUGUGCACCCUUCUAAGUAAAUCACAUAACAAGAAGAUAAAAGCAUAUGAUAAG